rnacentral:rRNA from 1 species
CAAUAGCGUAUAUUAAUGUUGUUGCAGUUAAAAAGCUCGUAGUUGGAUUUCUGGUGGAAGCGACCGGUCCGCCCCUCACGGGGUGUGCACUAGCGUCUGUCUUUUGCCAUCCUUGCGAAGAAGCGGUGUGGCAUUAAGUUGUCGCGCCGUCUGACUCGCAUCGUUUACUGUGAAAAAAUUAGAGUGUUUAAAGCAGGCAAUUGCUGUGAAUACAUUAGCAUGGAAUAAUAAGAUAGGACUUUGGUACUAUUUUGUUGGUUUGCAUAUCAAAGUAAUGAUUAACAGGGACAGUUGGGGGUAUUCGUAUUUCGUUGUCAGAGGUGAAAUCCUUGGAUUUAUGAAAGACGAACUACUGCGAAAGCAUUUACCAAGGAUGUUUUCAUUAA